rnacentral:rRNA from 1 species
GAGAGAGACAUGCGCGCAUAUCAAUAAGCGGAGGAAAAGAAACUAACUAGGAUUCCCUCAGUAACGGCGAGUGAAGCGGGAAGAGCUCAAAUUUGAAAUCUUCAAGGUUUUACCUUGACGAAUUGUAGUUUAAAGAAGUGUUUUCUGUUGGAAUUUUGGUAAAAGUUCUUUGGAAUAGGACAUCAUAGAGGGUGAGAAUCCCGUAUUUGGUCAUUCCUCCUAGCGUAGUGAUACACUUUCAAAGAGUCGGAUUGUUUGGGAAUGCAGUCCAAAAUGGGUGGUAAAUUUCAUCUAAAGCUAAAUAUUGGCGAGAGACCGAUAGCGAACAAGUACCGUGAGGGAAAGAUGAAAAGAACUUUGAAAAGAGAGUUAAACAGUACGUGAAAUUGUCAAAAGGGAAGCGUUUGACACCAGUGUUGUUUUUCCGAAAAUCAAUUACGAAUGUUUUAUUUUUGAGGAGUUAUGACUUCAUCGGCUUGCUCCUUUCUUUACUGAAACUUUCUUAAUGCACUUUUCGGUUAACAAGUCAACAUCAAUUUCUUUUGUUGUAAAAGGGUAUGAGGAAGGUGGCUUUCACUUUCGGUGAAAGUGUUUAUAGCCUUGUGCCUCUGCAAUCGGAGAGAUUGAGGUCUGCAGCGUAGAUCCUUCGGGGUUAGAUACGUUUGUGCUAAGUUAUAGCUUUUCAUAGACAACUUGUUGACUAUGUUUAGUCUUGUAGCUUACUCGCUGACGCUAUUUUACCUACGCUUAGGAUGUUGAUAGUCACAGCGUGUAC